rnacentral:piRNA from 1 species
UGCUUUUCGCAUUCUUAGAGCCAGC